rnacentral:rRNA from 1 species
UACGGAGGAUCCAAGCGUUAUCCGGAUUUAUUGGGUUUAAAGGGUGCGUAGGUGGCCUGUUAAGUCAGGGGUGAAAGACGGUAGCUUAACUAUCGCAGUGCCCUUGAUACUGCUGGGCUUGAAUGAACUAGAGGUAGGCGGAAUGUGACAAGUAGCGGUGAAAUGCAUAGAUAUGUCACAGAACACCAAUUGCGAAGGCAGCUUACUAUGGUUUUAUUGACACUGAGGCACGAAAGCGUGGGGAUCAAACAGG